CUUAAAUUGACGUUUUUACAUCGAAUUGGAGCUCGCCGUUUUCUGCAGUUUCUCGCCGGUUUCUGGAAAAUUCCGGCCACCUUCAUACUGUUCAAGGUGAUUGACGGUUUGAGUUGGCGGACGAUUGUGAAUCGUAUUUUGAGCUGUUAAGAAGACGCAGCGGGAUUAGAGCGGGUAAUCCUACAGGUCAGGAGAACCAGGACGGUGAUCGGGCUGCUUAGAGUAGUGUUAUGUGAAUUACAGCAUUAUAUUGUGAGGUUUGUUAUGCUCAUUUAGAGCUUUACGAUUUUACUUUGUAAGAGUGAAUUGUAAUAAUUAACUCGAGGUUUUUCGAGUUUUGUGUUGA